AUGAAUAGCUAACUGAAAUCNUAGAAUUUUUUAAAAUUCNUGAUGUCGUAAGGGAAAAUAAUGAUAAUACCUUACUAUGAGUGUCGCCCAAAUCUAGUGCCAGAAGACUCGGUAAGACCAGAGACGCAAACGUUAAUCAUCUUAAACAGGCGUAAAGGGUUUGUAGGCAGCUUUCAUAAGAAUAUGAAUUCAAAAUAAAGUAAUCUAAUUGAAAGCUAGAAUCAAAAAGAGGUUAUAGUGUAUAACGCCUAGAGGAGGGCUGAUAUCCUUAGAUCCUAGGCAGAAUACUCAGGGCGAAGGCCACUCUCCACUAAUGAUUGACGCUGAGAAACGAAGGUUAGGGUAGGAAAUAGGAUUAGAUACCCCGGUACUCCUUUCUGUAAACGAUGAAUGGUAGUCAUUAGUUUAUAUACAUAACUAGAGNCGAAGUUAACACAAUAACCAUUCCGCCUUGUGAGUACUACUGCAAAGUAGAAAANNAAAAAAUUAGUCGG
rnacentral:rRNA from 1 species